AUGGGUAGCGGCCACUUCCCCGAUUAUGACGAUAAGAAAUCUGCGUACUUCAAGCACAUUCAGAAUUACAAUCCAAAUGGUCAUUCUUCCGACCUCUUUGGCAUUCCCAUGGUCAAGAAUCCAUGUGGGAUAAGUGGGAGGCGGCCAAAAUGUUGCACACCAACUCGGUCCAAACUCCUUCCCCCGAAUGAUGAAUGUACCGACAUGGGUAUUGCCAUACCGGGGCUAUAUAUGGCUGGCAGUUGCCCAUGGAAGUAUCCUUUUCAAAGUUAUGAGAGGUGCAUUGAAGAUACCCUCGAAUUACUGUGCUUCUUCGCCGCAUGCAUAAGUGCCUACUGCCUUUUCUGCUAUCUUGUACUGUACAUCUUUAUGCACUGCUAUGAGCUACCAAAGAAGUAUGGAAGCAACAAUGCAAACACUAGGCAGCAAAAUGAGACCUAUGUUGUACCUCUGCCUACUGCUGGUGCCAUGCCUUCUUCUAUUGGAAGAAGCACAUGCGGCGAGCCAUGGAGGGAUCUCACUGAGGUCUCAACACAUGGCCCUCCUCCACUGGAAAGCUACACUUGCAAGCCCACCACUGCAGAUGAGCUCUUGGCAGGAAAACACCAGCCCGUGCAACUAGACGGGCAUCGUGUGCACGGCUAUUCGGCAUGGCCGCCGCAUGCCCUGGGUGGUGACCAACAUCUCCCUGCCGGAUGCUGGCAUCCAUGGCCAGCUUGGUGA
rnacentral:rRNA from 1 species